CUGCAGCCAAUUAAGCCUACUGGGUUCCUUUCCUCCUUGGGGCCUGGUGUGCAGCAGCUUCCUUGGUAGUGUAUGCAGCCUGUUUCUUGUAUGGGUUGUUCUAAGGGACCUUGGAGACAGGC
ensembl:snoRNA SNORA70 Small nucleolar RNA SNORA70